AGGGUUUGAUUAUGGCUCAGGAUGAACGCUGGCGGCGUGCUUAACACAUGCAAGUCGAACGAAGCUGCUUAACUGAUCUUCUUCGGAAUUGACGUUUUGUAGACUGAGUGGCGGACGGGUGAGUAACGCGUGAGGAACCUGCCUCGGAGUGGGGAAUAACACAACGAAAGCUGUGCUAAUACCGCAUGAUACAGUUGGGUCGCAUGACUCUGACUGUCAAAGAUUUAUCGCUCUGAGAUGGCCUCGCGUCUGAUUAGCUAGUUGGUGGGGUAACGGCCCACCAAGGCGACGAUCAGUAGCCGGACUGAGAGGUUGACCGGCCACAUUGGGACUGAGACACGGCCCAG
rnacentral:rRNA from 1 species